UUGGGGUCUUGCUCUGUCGCUCAGGCUGGAGUGCAGUGGCAUGAUCAUGGGUCACUGCAGCCUUGAACUCCUGGGCUUAAGGGAUCUUCUCAUCUCAGUCUCCUAAAUAGCUGGGACUACAGGCUCAGGCCACCAUGCCUGCAUGAGGCCCUCACCAGAUACAGCCACCUGAUCUUGGACUUCACAGCCUCCAGAAAUUCCAGUGAUUCAAGUUUGACACACCACACCACGGUGGAUGUGCCUUGUCAUGACACAUCUCAGCAGCACUAGAAGAUACAUCCAAAGUCCUGUGAGCAAGGUCUGUGGUAUCUGUUUAUUAUGGCAGCCCAGUAAGACUAAGACAGGCCAUCACAAGACGUGAACGUUUUGGACCUUCUCUUGGGCCCUAGUAAACAGAAAUCAGGCUAUUUAUUAAACUAAUCCACGUUCUGAACAGUUAUUGCUACUGGAAACCAGUCCCGAUCCAGACCACAAAAGACGAUUCUUGGAUCUUGCACAAGAAAGAAAGGGAAGAUCUGGCAAGAGUUAGCGUGCAGUUCUACAUUGUGACAAUUCAUGAGAGCUAAGGACUGGCUGUCUCUUGGGACAAAUAGGCUUUCUUGAGUCUGCAUGAGGCCCUCACCAGAUACAGCCACCUGAUCUUGGACUUCACAGCCUCCAGAAAUAUGCCCUGGAAUACACUUGUGUCAGUGACAAAUGCUGCUUUGCUGUGCUACAUCGAGUACAAGAGAAAUACAUGGGCUAUCUUCAGCACAGAACACAAACUCUGCCUUCUUUUCUCAAGUCCAGUGAUUCAAGUUUGACACACCACACCACGGUGGAUGUGCCUUGUCAUGACACAUCUUCUCAGCAGCACUAGAAGAUACAUCCAAAGUCCUGUGAGCAAGGACACAGCGAGAAGAUGGCUGUCUACAAGCCAGGAAGAGAGUCCUCACCAGAACCAAACCCUGCUGGACUUUGAUCUUGGACUUCCCAGCCUCUAAAACUGUGAAGACAUAAAUUUCUGUUGUUAAACCCACACAGGUCUGUGGUAUCUGUUUAUUAUGGCAGCCCAGUAAGACUAAGACAGGCCAUCACAAGACAUGAAUGUUUUGGACCUUCUCUUGGGCCCUAGUAAACAGAAAUCAGGUACGCAAAAGGGGUAAGCAUAUAAUUUCCUUUAUUUUUAUUUUUAAUGUGUAAGCCUUAGGUUUUUAUUUAUUUAUUUGGUGAAGACAAUCACAUUGUGUACGUACAAUGUAAUUAUAUUGUUGACGAGAAGUUACUUAAAAUUUUUUAAAAAUUCUAAUCGAUUUCUAGAUGUCCAAAUGAGAAGAUAGCAUUUAUAUACCAUCAGAACAUAAAAUAAUUCAAAAAAAUAAAUUUAUAAAACAAUAUGUAUUAUAUUGAGAGAAAGAGAGGGAGAGAGUAUUGGAAGAAUAUAUGCAAAUACAAUGUGAUAAUGUGAUGUCUUUGUGAGAAUGCUAUAUGUCAUUUUCUUUGUUUAUAUGAAUUUUUACAAUUUUUACCUUUGAAAUAUAAAAAAGAGAGAAUAAAAGUCAUUGAAAAAAUCAAAAGUAACUAUUUUCAUAGGUGAGUAAGUAUACAUCUUUAACAGAAC
rnacentral:lncRNA from 10 species